rnacentral:lncRNA from 10 species
AGCUGGGCGUAGUGGUACGUGCCUGUAAUCCCAGCUACUCAGGAGGCUGAGGCAGGAGAUGGGAGCUGGGGGAAGGGUUGGGGAGGAAAUGAGUAUGAAACAGUCAACUUGGAGAGUAAGAAGGGGAAUCUGCAAGGGAAGGUGUGAGCCUGUAGAGCACUUCUGAGUCUAAACUUGAGCCCGUGGUCGUGAAUCUAUAGUCAAACAAUCAGCAGCAGACACGGGGAAGGCUGAUGUGAAGGGGAUGGUUUCAGCCUG